AUGUGCCGGGUAUCUUACAGCUAUGAUUUGGUGGCGGAAAAAAAAGAAGGAGAAGAAAGAAGGAAGAAGGAGAAGAAAGAAGGAAGGAGGAGAAAGAAGGAAGAAGGAGAAAGAAGGAAGAAGGAGGAGAAGGAGAAGGAGAAGAAGAAGAGAAGAAGAAGAGAAGAAGAAGAGGAGGAAGAGGAGGAAGAGGAGGAGGAGGAGGAGGAAGAGGAGGAAGAGGAGGAAGAAGAAAGAAGAAGAAAGAAGAAAGAAGAAGAAGAAAGAAGAAGAAGAAGAAGAAAGAUGAUGUUGGAAAUAGGAUGACCAGAAAGAAAAGAACUGGAAAACUUUAAUCACUCAGAUUCUUUUUCAGAAAAUAAAGUCACUAUAGGAAAUACCUCUUUUUCUGUCUUCUCCAUCCCUGUCUUAUCCUUUUGAAGAGAAUGGAACACUUUGAAUAAAAAUUACUGCCUUAUUUUUCCAAAGAGGUAAACAAUGGCUGGAAAUGUUAAUGUUCCCUUAAGCACCUCUGAGGCAUGACUGUGUCCUUCUCUUGGACAUCAAACUGUGAAAAAUCAUUGUACUGUCCAAUAAUCUCACCAAACAAAGGCAUUUCCUGCUGAAUAGGUCAAGCUAGGCCUAUCUAAGAACAGCAUUUUGGCUAAUGGGCAUAAUGUCAUGAUGGAAAAGGAUUUGGGCAGAGGCUCAGAAGUGCCGUUUAGUAGAUUUGCCUUGUUUACUAGGCCCAAUUUAUUGCUAGGGAAAGGUGCUCAAAAUCAGUUGCUUAGGGAAAUAGGUAGGCAAAAGAGGAUAUAGAGUAUGAUCAUAUUCCGGUAAAAGAAUAGAAAGUGUCCAUUUGAGUUAUUUGUUUAUAGCCACAGAAAUUCACUCUGGCUCACAAGAGAAAGAAUUUAUUGGACAGAUGUGGAAGUUCAUGGAAGUAUCAGCUAUUGCUACAUAACAAACCACCCCAAAUGCAGUGGCUUAAAAAAAUCAAUUUAUUCAUCUCAGUAGUAUAGACUGUUCCACACCAUAUAUCAUAUAUCUCAGGGCAGCCAGUUGACUGAGGCCUUGGGCUCUCCUCCAAAUGUUUUAUUAUCCUCCAGCAGCAUAGGCCCUUCUUGUCCUUAUAGGGGAGUCAGGGUUCUGGGAGAGAGAGUGAAAGAGCGCACAAGGUCCCUGGAAACCUAAGCUCUGAGUUGGCACACUCGCCUCCCCUGCAUUCAAGCCAAAUCAAAUCACAAGGCAUCCCAGAUCUGAGGGGUGUGGAACUAGAUUCCCCCUCUUCAUAGGAUUCCACCUCUGGAAUGGGCAUGAGUAAGAAGGCCACCAAUUGGGACCAUCAAUGCAAUCAAUUUACCAUAAGAGAAUUGAGGGCAAAGCUGAAGAUUAGUUCUCAGAAGGCCCAGGACCCAGGGAUGUACUAUAUGUUUGAGUGAUGGGAACUAAUGGGUGAUCUCUUCACUGUUCUCCUUUCAGGAGGAAGGAAGGUGAGUAUUUUCAGUCUGUGAGGCUCAUUUAGUUGGAGAUGGAAAUAUCACCCUAGCCACCUGCCUACUGCUUAGUCAGCAGAGGUCAUGACAUCCAGAUUGGCAAGCCCACUAGAAAUGAUAGUCUAUUGAUUGAGGGGCCAUCCGCGGAGCAAAAUAUGGUGUGUCUCCCUAAAGAAGGCAGAAUGAAGGCUGGGCCAUCCGUACCAAUAUGUUCUCUUCAUACACUAAAAUAGUAACAAUAGUAAUCCAUGUGUGUGGGGUUUAUAGAAGAGAGUUUUCUUUUUGUUUGCAUGUAUUUCUGAAAUUUCUCCAAGGAAUAUGUAUUAGUUACAUAAUAUUUUAAUUUUU
rnacentral:lncRNA from 1 species